ensembl:rRNA 5S_rRNA 5S ribosomal RNA
GAAAGCUUUGUGAUCUUUCUGUUUACUUUACCAACAAACCAUGCCGGAUUCUGUCUGGCCUUUGAAGCUCAGCAGAAUUGGAUCUGGUUGCUGCUCAGAUGGAAGACCAAUUAGGAAUACCAGUUGAGGCUAAUG